GUUCAGAUUGCAGGCUGCAACCCGCCUGCAUGAAGUCGGAAUUGCUAGUAAUCGCGGAUCAGCAUGCCGCGGUGAAUACGUUCCCGGGCCUUGCACACACCGCCCGUCACACCAUGGGAGCCGGUAAUACCCGAAGUCAGUAGUCCAACCACGUGAGGACGCUGCCGAAGGUAGGAUUGGCGACUGGGGUGAAGUCGUAACAAGGUAAC
rnacentral:rRNA from 1 species